AAAUCCACAGCAAAAUCUCAGUUUUCUACUGGAAAUCUCCAGUCACCCAUCUAUUUCAAAGGCUAUGGCGGAAAUGAUAGAAACCAUGAUCUGGAGGGAGAUACGAGGAAUAGGUGGUGGCCGAGGAAGAAGGUACUACUUGAUGUGCGGUCAGAGACUGUUUGGAGGACACGAAGGCGGUGGUGGUGAGUUAGGAGGUGGAGUCAGGUACGAAGGUGGUCAUUAUCAACCAAAAUGUGAAGGAGCUUUUGCUGCUGCUAUAAUUUUUUCUGUGAUAACCUCAGGAUCCUCUCUACGAUAAGCCCUUGAAGCUACAAAGGUUCCCGCUGAUGGAUCAGUUCGACUCAAAAAAUGCAAAUUAACAUCUUCCUUUAUUCCAGGAUAACAUCAGUGGCUGGAGCAGAAAUACAUAGAAUUGUUGCGCAAGUGUAAGGAAACUUAGAUCACAUGGACGACGACUCAAGAAAAUGGUUUUCAUAAAACUCUUGAAGAAAUCUAAGCAGAUAAACUUGGAGAGUGAUAAAGAAACCAGAUGGUGGUAUUUGUGAAAGAAAGAACUUUGGUGUUAUGAAUUCAGCAUGGAAAAAUCAGAUUUCUGAUUGGCUAUCAGAAAUUUCUAUAGACAAAAAGUGACGCAAAUCUUUAUGUCUUGGAAAUAAGAAGUGAGUAUGAAACAGAAUUGGAAAUGUAAAUAUCAAAGAAACCAAUAACACUCCAAAAUCGAUUUAAGCUUCUUGGAUCCAAUGAAGAAAUGUGUCCAGAAGAUAUAACUAUACACUCAACUAGGGGUGUUAACCUUUUAGUAUAAAUACAUCUCUUGUGAGAACUUUAAGCAAGAAAGUAAUGACAGGUUUAUGUUUCAUCUUUGUCCUCUUCAAGCCUUAAAUUUUAUGUUCUUACUUUCAUAUAGUAUGAGAGAAUGGACAACGACAUGGAGCUCUAUUUGCAGCCCUCUUUAAUAUUUCACACAGUGUUA